rnacentral:rRNA from 1 species
GACGAACGCUGGCGGCGUGCCUAAUACAUGCAAGUCGAACGCUGAAGGAGGAGCUUGCUUCUCUGGAUGAGUUGCGAACGGGUGAGUAACGCGUAGGUAACCUGCCUGGUAGCGGGGGAUAACUAUUGGAAACGAUAGCUAAUACCGCAUAAUAGCAGUUGUUGCAUGACAACUGUUUGAAAGGUGCAAUUGCACCACUACCAGAUGGACCUGCGUUGUAUUAGCUAGUUGGUGGGGUAACGGCUCACCAAGGCGACGAUACAUAGCCGACCUGAGAGGGUGAUCGGCCACACUGGGACUGAGACACGGCCCAGACUCCUACGGGAGGCAGCAGUAGGGAAUCUUCGGCAAUGGACGGAAGUCUGACCGAGCAACGCCGCGUGAGUGAAGAAGGUUUUCGGAUCGUAAAGCACUGUUGUAAGAGAAGAACGAGUGUGAGAGUGGAAAGUUCACACUGUGACGGUAUCUUACCAGAAAGGGACGGCUAACUACGUGC